rnacentral:rRNA from 1 species
GCAGUAGCCGCGGGAAUACGUAGGGUGCGAGCGUUAAUCGGAAUUACUGGGCGUAAAGCGUGCGCAGGCGGUUGUGUAAGACAGGUGUGAAAUCCCCGGGCUUAACCUGGGAACUGCGCUUGUGACUGCACAGCUAGAGUAUGGCAGAGGGGGGUGGAAUUCCACGUGUAGCAGUGAAAUGCGUAGAGAUGUGGAGGAACACCGAUGGCGAAGGCAGCCCCCUGGGCCAAUACUGACGCCCAUGCACGAAAGCGUGGGGAGCAAACAGGAUUAGAUACCCGAGUAGUCCCUGUCUCUUAUAC